rnacentral:lncRNA from 1 species
UUUAGAGUUUGUAUAGGAUUUAAUUUAGAAUUUAGAUUUUGAUUAAGAUUUAGUUUAGGAUUUAGGAUUUGAUUAGGAUUUGAUUAAGAAUUUAAGAUUUGAUUAAGAUUUGAUUUAGAAUUUGGUUUAGAAUUUAGGAUUUAUGAAGGAUUUAAUUUAGAGUUAAAGAUUUAGUUAGGAUUUGGUUAGGAUUUGGAAUUUGUGUAGAAUUUUGUUAGGAUUUGGUUUAGGGUUUAGAAUUUAUCUAGGAUUUG